rnacentral:rRNA from 1 species
GACGAAGGGGGCUAGCGUUGUUCGGAAUUACUGGGCGUAAAGCGCGUGUAGGCGGUUGUCCAAGUUGGAUGUGAAAGCCUUGAGCUUAACUCAAGAAAUGCAUUCAGGACUGGAUGACUAGAGGACCGGAGAGGAUAGUGGAAUUCCCAGUGUAGUGGUGAAAUACGUAGAUAUUGGCUGGAACACCGGUGGCGAAAGCGGCUCUCUGGCCCGGUUCUGACGCUGAGGCGCGAAAGCGUGGGGAGCAAACAGG